rnacentral:lncRNA from 1 species
UUAGAGUUUAGGCUUUACAGUAAUUCAGUUUUUUUUCUUAUCACUGUUCAUAUGAGUGCUAUCUGGAAAUAUAUAUAUAUUUUAUAUUUAAAUUUAGGAUUUAAUGAUUAGAAUUUAUGGUUAGUAUUUAUGGGUGGGUGGGAUUAGAGUUUAGGCGCUACAGUAAUUUAGUUUUUUUUCUUACCACUGUUCACAUGAGUGCUAUCUGGAAAAAAAAAUUCAUUGGGUAACAAAUUUACAACAAUAUUUUAAAAUGUCUU